rnacentral:rRNA from 1 species
CGGCGGACGGGUGAGUAACGCGUGGGUAACCUGCCUCAUACAGGGGAGUAACAGUUGGAAACGGCUGCUAAUACCGCAUAAGCGCACAGUACCGCAUGGUACGGUGUGAAAAACUCCGGUGGUAUGAGAUGGACCCGCGUCUGAUUAGGUAGUUGGUGGGGUAACGGCCUACCAAGGCGACGAUCAGUAGCCGGCCUGAGAGGGUGAACGGCCACAUUGGGACUGAGACACGGCCCAA